rnacentral:rRNA from 1 species
UACGUAGGGUGCGAGCGUUGUCCGGAAUUAUUGGGCGUAAAGAGCUCGUAGGCGGUUUGUCGCGUCGACUGUGAAAACCUACAGCUUAACUGUGGGCUUGCAGUCGAUACGGGCAGACUUGAGUUCGGUAGGGGAGACUGGAAUUCCUGGUGUAGCGGUGGAAUGCGCAGAUAUCAGGAGGAACACCAAUAGCGAAGGCAGCUCGCUGGGACGGUAUUGACGCUAAGGCGCGAAAGCGUGGGGAGCAAACAGG